rnacentral:lncRNA from 1 species
CUCUUGUUGAAAGGACUCUCUUGCUUUUGCAACUCCUUCAGAUUACUCAAAUUACUCAUUUGAGAUAGAUCUGAGAACGAUUUUGAUUUUCCAUCAAAAUGACUCGACAAUCCCCUCCUGCAUCGCUUACCAUAAAAUCCCAAAACAUACCCGUAUCAGAUUCCAUAAUCCAAAAUCAAAUUAACAAAAAUCACACACACCAAUUACUACUUUACUAGUUAGUAUUAGUUAUUACUUAUUACCACCCAAAAUAAAUGAAAAAAAUAUUAUAAUUUUAUCCAACUCAAAAUAAAAAGGAUCUAAUCUAAGGGUUAAAGAAAAACAUUCGAUGAUUACGAGAAUCAAAUCAAAGAAGCGGGAUGAAAAGAGAAAAUUAAAGGAAUUAACUUGAUGGGAAGAGAUUCUUCCAAAGCAUCCAAAGAACCCAACCCAGUUCGUAUCUUUAACUGGCUCUGCACUUCUUCCUCCUCCUCGUUGUCGCUGUCAUCAGGGGUUCCGAUCGACGACGAACUCUCCGACUCGCCGCCGGCGA